UGAAUACGAGGCACUAAGGUGCUGAAGUAGUGUAUGUCAUACUUCCAAGAAAAGCUUGUACUAUCGUAAGGUAAAAAUGCCUGUACCAUAACCGACACAGGUGGGUAGGUAGAGUAUACUAAGGGGCGCGAGAUAACUCUCUCUAAGGAACUCGGCAAAAUAACUCCGUAACUUCGGGAGAAGGAGUGCCUUAUUCUAUAAGGUUGCAAUAACAAGAUCCAAGCAACUGCUUAUCAAAAACACAGGUCUCCGCUAAGUCGUAAGACGAUGUAUGGGGGCUGACGCCUGCCCAGUGCCAGAAGGUUAAAGAAGUCGGUUAGCAAUUGCGAAGCUGGUAACUGAAGCCCUGGUGAACGGCGGCCGUAACAAUAACGGUCCUAAGGUAGCGAAAUUCCUUGUCGGGUAAGUUCCGACCCGCACGAAAGGCGUAAUGAUUUGGAUACUGUCUCGGAGAGGGACUCGGUGAAAUAGACUUGUCUGUGAAGAUGCGGACUACCUGCACCAGGACAGAAAGACCCUAUGAAGCUUUACUGUAACUUGAAAUUGAAAUUGGACUUUAUUCGCGCAGUAUAGGUGGGAGGCGUUGAUUAUAAUCUUGUGGGAUUAUUGGAGCCAUUAGUGAGAUACCACUCUUGUAAUGUUAGAUUUCUAACUUUGAAUCAUGAUCUGGUCAAAGAACAGUUUCAGGCGGGCAGUUUGACUGGGGCGGUCGCCUCCUAAAUGGUAACGGAGGCGUACAAAGGUUUCCUCUGAAUGGGUAGAAAUCGUAUCUAGAGUGUAAAGGCAUAAGGAAGCUUGACUGUGAGACCUACAAGUCGAGCAGGGACGAAAGUCGGUCUUAGUGAUCUGACGGUACUGAGUGGAAAGGCCGUCACUCAACGGAUAAAAGUUACUCUAGGAUAACAGGCUGAUCUCCCCCAAGAGUUCACAUCGACGGGGAGGUUUGGCACCUCGAUGUCGGCUCAUCGCAUCCUGGGGCGGUAGUACGUCCCAAGGGUUGGGCUGUUCGCCCAUGAAAGCGGUACGCGAGCUGGGUUCAGAACGUCGUGAGACAGUUCGGUCCAUAUCCGGUGUAGGCGUUAGAAUAUUGAGAGGAGCCUUCUUUAGUACGAGAGGACCGAGAAGGACAUACCUCUGGUGUACCAGUUAUCGUGCCAACGGUAAACGCUGGGUAGCUAUGUAUGGAGUGGAUAACCGCUGAAAGCAUCUAAGUGGGAAGCCCACCUCAAGAUAAGUAUUCUCAU
rnacentral:rRNA from 1 species